GGGAGGAGGGCGCUGAUAGACUUUUCUGCCUCUAUGCUUAGACAUACCCCAAGCAUUUGCAUCACUACACACACACACACACACACACACACACACACACACACACACACACACACAGAGUGGCUUUGUAGUAGAGCCUAUCUGUGUUGAUGGGUGUUUUUGUCCACCUGACACAAACCUAGACAAAGCUGGGAAGGAGAAAUCUCAACUGAGGAAUCGCCUUCAUCAGAUUGUACCACAGACAGUCUGUAGGAUAUUCUCUGGAUUGGAGGUUGAUGUGGGAGAGCCCAGCCCAGUGUGGGCAGUGCCAUGCCUGGGUAGGUGGCCCUUAAUUGGAAAGCAGCUGAGCAAGCCAUGAGGAACAAAUCGGUAAACGGCAUUCUUCCCCGGCUUCUACUUCAAUUCCUGCCUUCAGGUUUCUGCCUUGACUUCUUCUCUUGGUAAUGGAGUGUUACCUCAAGCCUGACUCCAUUGACUUUGCGCUAUCUCUGCACUAUCUCCAACACCCGCCUGAGGUGACUUAGCAGCUGGUUUGGGGCAUGCAUCUCUCUCGGGCACCUGCUGAAGAAUCUCCAGUCAUCAGUGACCUUCCCCACCCGGGAGCUAUCCAGAUGCCUUCAGUUGGCCGUCUCCUAGGAGGUUGAAGUGGUAGUACCCUAUGACUGAAGACACCGUGUACUUUGGACACAGGACUCCAGAAUCAGAGCAGGAUCUAACCUGAAAAACACCCUUCUGACGGACGGUUUUAGUACUGGAAGACGGAGGGUGCACAUCUAUGGUUUGCUUCAGCCAAAGAGAGCUGGAAGGAGCUGGUGUUGGUGUGAAGGAUCGUCUAGCCAGAUGGUGGAGGCAUGAUGCAGGCAACGGUGAUUGGUCUGGUGGUCAUGCAAAAAGCACACGUUGACUUCUUUUUUCAAAAUGUGGAAGUGGUGGGCAUACAAAGGGGCCAUUUAAAUACAGUAUCUUAGAAAAAUAGAUCCUAUCUCCUUUGGCCUUUUGCAAUAGCUUGGUGUCUGUUCAGGCCUUGACACCAGUGGAAAGUGACUCAGCCGACUGAGCAGUCUGUGUUGGGAGAGAGGCUGGUUUCCAGGUCAUUGUGAGAGAAGUUGGCUUCCGGUUCCGGGUCAUUGUGGGACAAUGUGGGAGAGCACAAGUCAAGAAACUGACCGUGACCUUUCCCCUAGCGCUCUUGUGGGGUGGAGGCUGCCUUUGUUAUUUCUCUGGAGUUGCUUGCAGCUAUGUUCAUGGAACGUUUGUUAAAUUCCGUGUGUUUAAUCACAGUACCAGGGAGGCAGAGGCAGUUGGAUCUCUGUCAGCAGAGUGAAUUCUAGGAUAGCCAGGGCUACUUGGAGCAACCCAGCCUUGAAUAACAAAAACCAAAACGAAAACAAGGAUAGAAGAUUGAAUCAAGCUAUGACAAUUCAAUUACUGUACACACUAGUCAGUAUUUUCUAAAUACCAGUGCUAAACUAAGACGAACGGCCCAUGACAAAACAAACAGAUGCUUUUAUUCACAUUACAUUGAUUAUUUAUUUUAAUGUUUUUAAAGAUAUAUUUAU
rnacentral:sRNA from 1 species